AGAAUCAACGCUGGCGGCGUGCCUAACACAUGCAAGUCGAACGAGAAAGGGUAGCAAUACCUGAGUAAAGUGGCGCACGGGUGAGUAACACGUGACUAACCUACCCUGGAGUGGGGGAUAACUGAGGGAAACCUUAGCUAAUACCGCAUAAUACCUACGGGUCAAAGGAGCAAUUCGCUUCAGGAGGGGGUCGCGGCCGAUUAGUUAGUUGGCGGGGUAAUGGCCCACCAAGACGAUGAUCGGUAU
rnacentral:rRNA from 1 species